GCCUCGGUGGCCUAGUGGUCAAGAGGCUUGUAAACAGGAGGGCGUGGGUUCAAUCCCAGCCGAGGCA
rnacentral:tRNA from 1 species